UUUAAGCCCUAACUAUCUUGAGUUAUUCAUCGUAAUUACAGCCCCAUACAUCUCACGAUUCUGAAAUAUCUAUGAGGAUUAUUAAUAAGAGUGUUAAUAUGCCACCCCAUAUCAUCUCUGAAGAGUUAAGAAUUUGAAUGAGGUCCGAUCUAUGGGACGUGGAGAACAUAUUAUGCAGCAAAUUUUCCAUUUUUCCCUGCCACAAGUCUCCUUUUUGUGCUGCUUUAUAAUUAUUGGGGGGCUAUAACAACGGCAACAUAACUUCAUUCUCAUAACAAUUCCCUUCAUCUGGAAUGUUCAUACAUAUUAAUCAUAAUUUGACAGAAAUAGUACCUGAUCUUCAAAAUUUUCCCUGAGACUUCAGCUAUUGUUGCAAUAUAAAUAUCAAAACCUUGUCUAUCUACUUGAAUCAUGUCUUCCUGUUGAAAAUUCUCAAACAUCUUACAUCAAACAAAGCAAAUAAAAGAAUAAAACAAUCGCAACCAUUAACAGCACACAUAACUAAAAAUUUAAAUCCCGAAUAUCAGAAACAGAAAGAUCAGAUGAUGCCCGUAUUCAAACAUGAUUACUCACACAUCAAUAAAAGGGUAACAAAUCUCCCAGAUUAUUCGCAAAGAAACUUUGCCUCAGAUUAUUUCGAGAUAAUUUUGACAUUAAAACUCUCUUGAUUACUUUAACCAAGAGAACAAGAGAAGAAAUUGGAAAAAAAAAAUCUCCAAGUUCUGCAAAAAAAAAAGAGAGACUUUGGAGGAAAUUACAUACUUUCUCUACGCCCUUUCCACUUUCAAGAAUUCAAACUGCCUGAAAUCUCAAAAGGAAAAAUCCCUCAACGCACCAAAGAAAAUAAUUAGAAAAACAAAAACAUAACUUUUUUCCCCAACAAGUCACCUUUCCUUCUCCCCUCCUCUCGACCUCUUCUCCAACCAUCAAACCAUUCUAGAGCAUCACCAAGGACAUAAGUUAACAUUGAUAAAACCACUAAAACCGAAAUUCACCAAAUAUAAGAGAUCUUUAGACACCAAAAAGGGAAUAAAAUCACAAAAACCUUAUAAUUUUUGCUUUCCCCGAUUCCCCCCCC
rnacentral:lncRNA from 1 species